rnacentral:rRNA from 1 species
GGCAUUAGCUUGUUGUGGGGUAACGGCCUACCAAGGCGAUGAUGCAUAGCCGAGUUGAGAGACUGAUCGGCCNCAAUGGGACUGAGACACGGCCCAUAUUCCUACGGGAGGCAGCAGUAGGGAAUCUUCCACAAUGGGCGCAAGCCUGAUGGAGCAACACCGCGUGAGUGAAGAAGGGUUUCGGCUCGUAAAGCUCUGUUGUUAAAGAAGAACACGUAUGAGAGUAACUGUUCAUACGUUGACGGUAUUUAACCAGAAAGUCACGGCUAACUACGUGCCAGCAGCCGCGGUAAUACGUAGGUGGCAAGCGUUAUCCGGAUUUAUUGGGCGUAAAGAGAGUGCAGGCGGUUUUCUAAGUCUGAUGUGAAAGCCUUCGGCUUAACCGGAGAAGUGCAUCGGAAACUGGAUAACUUGAGUGCAGAAGAGGGUAGUGGAACUCCAUGUGUAGCGGUGGAAUGCGUAGAUAUAUGGAAGAACACCAGUGGCGAAGGCGGCUACCUGGUCUGCAACUGACGCUGAGACUCGAAAGCAUGGGUAGCGAACAGGAUUAGAUACCCUGGUAGUCCAUGCCGUAAACGAUGAGUGCUAGGUGUUGGAGGGUUUCCGCCCUUCAGUGCCGGAGCUAACGCAUUAAGCACUCCGCCUGGGGAGUACGACCGCAAGGUUGAAACUCAAAGGAAUUGACGGGGGCCCGCACAAGCGGUGGAGCAUGUGGUUUAAUUCGAAGCUACGCGAAGAACCUUACCAGGUCUUGACAUCUUGCGCCAACCCUAGAGAUAGGGCGUUUCCUUCGGGAACGCAAUGACAGGUGGUGCAUGGUCGUCGUCAGCUCGUGUCGUGAGAUGUUGGGUUAAGUCCCGCAACGAGCGCAACCCUUGUUACUAGUUGCCAGCAUUAAGUUGGGCACUCUAGUGAGACUGCCGGUGACAAACCGGAGGAAGGUGGGGACGACGUCAGAUCAUCAUGCCCCUUAUGACCUGGGCUACACACGUGCUACAAUGGACGGUACAACGAGUCGCGAACUCGCGAGGGCAAGCAAAUCUCUUAAAACCGUUCUCAGUUCGGACUGCAGGCUGCAACUCGCCUGCACGAAGUCGGAAUCGCUAGUAAUCGCGGAUCAGCAUGCCGCGGUGAAUACGUUCCCGGGCCUUGUACACACCGCCCGUCACACCAUGAGAGUUUGUAACACCCAAAGUCGGUGGGGUAACCUUUUAGGAGCCAGCCGCCUAA